rnacentral:lncRNA from 1 species
AUGCAAAUAGCAAUCAUUUAGAAGUUUCUGUACAACAGAUGCCAUAUGUGUUACAUUUUAUUUGAUCAUCAAAAUUGUCAUAGAUAUUAUUAUCCCCAUUUCAUAGAAGAAACUGAGAUUAUAUAAUUUGUUCAACUUGACCAACUUCUUAUAACUAAUACAUAGUAGAGAUAAGGUUGAAACCUCAUUAACCAACUUCUUAUAACUAAUACAUAGUAGAGAUAAGGUUGAAACCUCAUUAGGUUUGACUCCAGACCCCAGCCUCUUUUGAGUGCAUCAUAAAAGGCUUUGGUCUGCCCGUGGCCAGUAACAACUUUUACUAAAUUGAUUCUUUGCUUUUUAUCUGUAAAAGGAAGUUAUUCACCUAUUUUGAUGAUCCCCAAUGUUUUUAACAUCAAUAAAUGUGUCCACCACACAUGAUAGUUUUUAAUGUUUUGUUUCCAUGAUUACAGGAUUAAAAAACUAUUAAUUAGUGAUACUUUUAAUUUUGAUUUUAUUAAUUAAAACACAUCUGUCUACAUCUGAAGAAUAGCACUUGUGACAACAGCAUAGACGGCUUCAUUUUGAGGAGUAAAUUACAAUUGAACAUGACCAAAUAUACAUAGAGAAGGCGUGGACCACACAAAUGUGAUUGAAAGCUGGCGUGGAGUCAUCUUAAAUUGACUUUUUCCCAAAGGGCCCCUAAAAGAGGGUAGAAUCCCAACAGAUAGAGUCUAUGGAGAGAUAGACUGCUGAGACCCAUAUUAUGGUCAGUGAAGUGCAGGCAAGGAAGGGAUCCUUAGCAAAAUGGGGAGAGGAAUGGAUGGUCUGAAAAACCCUGAAGGAACUGAAACACUCUGCAAAGGAAAGAAGAACAAGUAUCAGCUUUGACCCCUGCCAGACCUAGGCAGCAACAACGGCAGCUCACAAAGCACCAGAACAAACGCGCUUUCUUGUGCCCCUACAUGUCUUCCCUUCACCGUCUUGAACCCUGGUGUCAUCAUAAACUGUCUGUAAGCGAAUAAGUGACAGAGCUCCUUGCUGCUCAAAUUUUAUGCCAGAUAAAAUAUUCACCUUCUCGGACUCCCUGGCACCAGGCAUGGCCAUGUAAUCCUACAGCACAGCUGAUGAAAGAGAAGACAUCUUGCUGCUAUUUGACAAGCAAGAAGAUAAAAGCUUUCCUAUAAAGAUGAUGGAGCAAAAAAAUAGAAGGGGCCUAGACUCCCUACCUUCACACUUCCUGCUAUAAAAGCAUUGCUAUUAUAAGGUUAAUCUGCAGAAACAGACUUCUAUGUCAUAUGCUUAAAUGCAUCAAAAUUCAUACAAUAUCCAUUAAAUUGGUAAAAGUAUCCAUUUUAAAGGAUUAAUCUGAGGGACCCACAGA